UUUACAGUUUCAUCCUGGCACGAAAAUCCAGGAAAUUAGCAGGCCUGACGAAAGAGGAGAGAAAGAGAAGGAUCUGUGAGAUUUAUGCUCGUGUGCUCGGCUCAGAAGAAGCAUUACAUCCUGUGCACUACGAGGAGAAAAAUUGGUGUGAGGA